rnacentral:rRNA from 1 species
AACGAACGCUGGCGGCAGGCUUAACACAUGCAAGUCGAACGGUCUCUUCGGAGGCAGUGGCAGACGGGUGAGUAACGCGUGGGAAUCUACCCAGUUCUACGGAACAACAGGGGGAAACUUCUGCUAAUACCGUAUACGCCCUACGGGGGAAAGAUUUAUCGGAAUUGGAUGAGCCCGCGUUGGAUUAGCUAGUUGGUGGGGUAAUGGCCUACCAAGGCGACGAUCCAUAGCUGGUCUGAGAGGAUGAUCAGCCACACUGGGACUGAGACACGGCCCAGACUCCUACGGGAGGCAGCAGUGGGGAAUAUUGGACAAUGGGCGAAAGCCUGAUCCAGCCAUGCCGCGUGAGUGAUGAAGGCCUUAGGGUUGUAAAGCUCUUUCAGUAGGGAAGAUAAUGACGGUACCUACAGAAGAAGCCCCGGCUAACUUCGUGCCAGCCGCCGCCGUAACAC